GCCAUUCCGCGUGAGUGAAGAAGGCCUUCGGGUUGUAAAGCUCUUUCGCAAGGGAAGAAAACUUACACAAUAACACUGUGUGAGGCUGACGGUACCUUGAUAAGAAGCACCGGCUAACUACGUGCCAGCAGCCGCGGUAAUACGUAGGGUGCGAGCGUUAAUCGGAAUUACUGGGCGUAAAGCGUGCGCAGGCGGUUUUGUAAGUCAGAUGUGAAAUCCCCGAGCUCAACUUGGGAACUGCGUUUGAAACUACAAGACUAGAAUAUGUCAGAGGGGGGUAGAAUUCCACGUGUAGCAGUGAAAUGCGUAGAGAUGUGGAGGAAUACCAAUGGCGAAGGCAGCCCCCUGGGAUAAUAUUGACGCUCAUGCACGAAAGCGUGGGGAGCAAACAGGAUUAGAUACCCUGGUAGUCCACGCCCUAAACGAUGUCUACUAGUUGUUGGUGGAGUAAAAUCCAUGAGUAACGCAGCUAACGCGUGAAGUACACCGCCUGGGGAGUACGGUCGCAAGAUUAAAACUCAAAUGAAAUUGACGGA
rnacentral:rRNA from 1 species